rnacentral:rRNA from 1 species
CGUAGGUGAACCUGCGGAGGGAUCAUUAAAGAGUUAUACAACUCCCACACCCAUGUGAACGUACUUCCGUUGCCUCGGCGGGUCGCAGCCUACCCUGUAAGGACCUACCCUGUAGGGCCCUACCCUGUAGGCCGCGGUGAAGCCCGCCGGCGGCCCACGAAACUCUGUUUAUACUGUAUCUCUGAAAAAAUAACUAAAUAAGUUAAAACUUUCAACAACGGAUCUCUUGGUUCUGGCAUCGAUGAAGAACGCAGCGAAAUGCGAUAAGUAAUGUGAAUUGCAGAAUUCAGUGAAUCAUCGAAUCUUUGAACGCACAUUGCGCCCAUUAGUAUUCUAGUGGGCAUGCCUGUUCGAGCGUCAUUUCAACCCUCAAGCCCCUGUUGCUUGGUAUUGGGAGCCUACAGCCCGCUGUAGCUCCCCAAAGUUAGUGGUGGAGUCGGCUUACACUCUAGACGUAGUAAUUCAUUAUCUCGCCUAUAGAUGAGCCGGUCCCCUGCCGUAAAACCCCCAAUUUCUAAAGGUUGACCUCGGAUCAGGUAGGAAUACCCGCUGAACUUAAGCAUAUCAAUAAGCGGAGGA